UAACGCGUGGGUAACCUGCCUCAUACAGGGGGAGUAAACAGUUAGAAAUGACUGCUAAUACCGCAUAAGCGCACAGUGCUGCAUGGCACAGUGUGAAAAACUACCGGUGGUAUGAGAUGGACCCGCGUCUGAUUAGCUAGUUGGUGGGGUAACGGCCUACCAAGGCGACGAUCAGUAGCCGGCCUGAGAGGGUGAACGGCCACAUUGGGACUGAGACACGGCCCAAACUCCUACGGGAGGCAGCAUG
rnacentral:rRNA from 1 species